GGGAAGUGGAAGACAAAUAGGGACCACACAUCUUGAAGAACUUCAGUUACAACAAGGUAAAAUCACCAUGCUUAUAAUUAGUCAAGAGAAUUAAGUCUCCUCUCCUCACUAAAGGCAUAAGGCUUUGAAAAGGCACAGGUUUUAAGGAUCAGGCUGAAGGGAAACAAACAGCACUGCACUGGUGACUCAGAUUUAGGCCAUGGCGCAGUAAGAAGAACUGAAGAGGCCAUCAGUCCUCCCCAUCCCUUAUAUACUUGGUGCAGAGCAUGAAGAGAGUAGAGGCACAGGCCCUGACCUAUGGAUACUGCGUUCAAAAUUUCUCUAGUCUAUGGCGCAUGCACACCCACAAUGGAAUACACAUAGGGACCAGCACUCAAAGAAGAACUUGCUUUUCGGCCUUCUACUCCCACCACAAUUUCUGCAUGAGAAAGCAGAGCACAGCUGCUGUACCUUUUCAGCCACACUCGGUCAGAAGUUAUGUAUAUUUGUUCCCCUUUAUACCAUGCAAUGGCACACAUGUUGUACAUUAAUGGGUGUAAACAGUAUAUAGUAAUUUAGCUCACUAACAAGAUGUUUUAGAGUUCUCCUUUCUUACCAAUCUAAUUAGUGCUCUGUCGCUGGACUUUCGGCCCAAUGCUCUGAGUUUCCUUUUCCGGAUUUGGGCGUUUCCCAGUGCUGAUACCAGUGCUUCCUGUUCUUCCUGAAAAAUGAAAUCAACACCUAACGUGAGAAACUAUUUUGCUUUUUAUGUAUCCAAAUGACAUCUUUUAAAACAUAAAGUCACCUU